UACGGGGGGGGCAAGCGUUGUUCGGAAUUACUGGGCGUAAAGGGUUCGUAGGUGGCCAACUUAGUCAGACGUGAAAUCCCUCAGCUUAACUGGGGAACUGCGUCUGAUACUGGAUGGCUCGAGUGCAGGAGAGGAACGCGGAAUUCCAGGUGUAGCGGUGAAAUGCGUAGAUAUCUGGAGGAACACCGGUGGCGAAGGCGGCUCACUGGACCGGAACUGACGCUGAGGCGCGAAAGCGUGGGGAGCAAACAGG
rnacentral:rRNA from 1 species